rnacentral:rRNA from 1 species
CAGUCGCCGCGGUAAUACGAAGGGGGCUAGCGUUGUUCGGAUUAACUGGGCGUAAAGGGCGCGUAGGCGGGUUUUUAAGUCAGAGGUGAAAUCCCAAGGCUCAACCUUGGAACUGCCUUUGAUACUGGAAAUCUUGAGUCCGGGAGAGGUGAGUGGAACUGCGAGUGUAGAGGUGAAAUUCGUAGAUAUUCGCAAGAACACCAGUGGCGAAGGCGGCUCACUGGCCCGGUACUGACGCUGAGGCGCGAAAGCGUGGGGAGCAAACAGGAUUAGAGACCCCAGUAGUCCCUGUCUCUUAUAC